rnacentral:tRNA from 1 species
GCGCGGGUAGUUAAGCGGUAGAAUUUCUCGUUGCCAACGAGGAGACCCGAGUCCGACUCUCGGCCCGCGCAC